rnacentral:lncRNA from 1 species
CGGAGGGAUUCCCUGCCAAUCUCACAUCACUUGCAAUCUCAAACGCACCCAAGAUUUAUAGGUCACUUGUGGAAUGGGGAUUAAAUAGACUCACCUCUCUUCAAGAAUUGACCAUCGGAGGUGAAAGAUGCUCAAACGUGGUGUCGUUCCCAGAAAAAGGGAUUGGAAUGAUGCUGCCUCCUUCUCUCACCCAUAUCCGUCUUUUGCGAUUUGAGAACCUGGAAUUCAUGUUCUCCGAGGGCUUUCAAGACCUCGCCUCUCUUAAAGUAUUGGAGAUCUUUCAGUGUCCCAAGCUAACAUCUCUUCCGGCAGAAAAGGAGCUUCUCUCGCUUGGAUAUUUAAAUAUUAACAGUUGUCCGUUGCUGCAAAAAGAGUGCUCAAACGAUAAAGGACAAGAGUGGUCUAAGAUUUCCCACAUACCCUUUGUUACAAUUGAUGAUAAAGCAGUCAUCCCGAGGGAAUCAGAUUGAAAGAUGAGCCGCAAAAUCUGUGAUUGGUUUCGUCAGAGUGAUGGGAGAGGUACAAAAAACCAUUUCAAACAAGUCUAACUUUCCUUAAGAACAAGAUAAGAAUAGGAAUCAGUAUAAAUUUAUUGAUUGAUAUUUGCAGGAAUUGAAAGCGAAGUUGGGGUGGAAGUGAGGUUUUAGAAAGAUCCUUUGAAGGAAAAGUAAAAAAGAUGACACUUCUGUUGUUAAAUGGGUGAAAUUUGUCAUUUAGUGUUUCAGAUGUUUGUAAACUUGUUUCUUCGCUUUGUGUAUUGUUUAUUUUGUUCUUUUACUUUACUUGUCUUAUAUAUGAUAGGAUAUAAUAGGGAAGAAUAAGAUGAACAAUUUCACAUUAAACAUCAAUCUUAUAACAAUUUUCUUAUUUUGAAUAUAUAUAAGAUAUUCGACAUUUAACCAUUUGACUAAAAAAAUUUUAAUAUGUCGAAAGAAUACACAUUUUGUUACAAAAUGUUUUUAUUAAGAUGCAUUUUCUGUUUUUCUCUCUAAAAUAUAUCCAUUUCUCUAAAUUUAGGAAAUAUCGAUCUAAUUUCCUAACCUUUUUUUUAUUUCAACAUUUUUAUCUAAUUUUCUCCUAUUUUUCUAUGUCACUUUCUUGUUUUUUCAUUCCUCUUUCAAUUUUAUUUCUUUCUUUUCUUCCUAUUCUUUUCCUCUCUUACCCAACCUUAGCCGUCGCUAGCAUGCACUACAACCGCACUACGACAUUUGUUCUUCUGUCCAAAUAAUGGCAUUGGUCAACUCUUUUCCUCAUUCUAUUUCAUUUCCAAAUAAUGGCGUUGGUCAAUCACCUAGCUCUUUUGUCAUCAUUGCUUGUUUCGAUGUUGUCACUAAUCGGAGAAGCCACCAAAUGGUCCACAUUUCCUUUCUCUCUCCCGCUUCUUUUCUACUUUAUUUUUUUUAUUUUUAAAGCCGUGGACCGCAUUUCACUAUCGUUGCUCUCCGUUGUCGAAUCGAGCCACCACCAUAAAUGGCCUUGCUUCUAGUCAACAUGCACUGCUGCUCAGCCCUUUGUUUCUUUCCCUUUUUUUACUGUCGCCUCUCCUGUCUAACUGAUAACUCUAAAAUAUUGAGUUAUCUUUAGCACUUCUAGAUUGGUAAUUCAUGUAAAAUUUAAGUGUUUGGUAACAAAUUUUGAGAUUUUUAUGACAACUUUGUCCUGUUGAAUGAUACUAAGAUAAAUUUACUAAUUUGAUCAUUUUAUAUACUAAAACACAUGAUUGCAAUUUUUUGAGACAGUUGAUGUACUAGAAGAAAAGCCAGUCUUGAAGCUCACCCUUUUGGUCCUCAAUGCUGUAGCAUUUCUACAACAUAAGCCAUGUAAAAGAGGGUUGAGAUAUUGUCAUCUUUGGACUCAAUUAAAAGCUUAUUAGUCUUAGAAAAUUUUCUUGACCCAACUUAAGAAUUGGUCAGCAAAAAUGGAUAACCUGUUAAGAAGAUAGAAGCCCAAAUUAUCCACUAAGGAGGAGAAGUCCUAAUUGUCCAUAGAGGUGCCCAAAUCAGCCACCCAAGACUUGGUUAAAGAUUGAAAACCAACCAAAAAAUUCUCUUAUGUGACUGACCAACUCCCCUCCUCAUUUCAAGGUUUCUCUUCAAUGAAUCAAGCAAAAAUAUCAAAGUCAUCCACUCACUUUCCUUAAAAUAAAGGUCGGAUUUUCAAGGCUCUCAUUUGCUAAAAAUAGCCAAUAUCUACAAGUAUAAAUAACCCUAGCUAUUCUAUUCUGUUAUCCCUUAUUCACCAUCUAUUUUCCCAUUCUUCAUUCUUUCAUUUCCCAGGGAGAGAGCAACAAAAGAGUUUGAGAGAAGCAUUUCAGAAGUUCUUUGAGUAGCAAAGUUUGGCAUCUUGAAGGCAAAUCAAUUCAACUAAAAGUGCAUUAUCACAUUUAACUUCGACCUUUCUGAAGUCUUUUCCCCAUAUUAUGAAAACACCUUCCAACAUGGUAGAGCGAAUUUUUUUGAAUAUUGAAUAUAGAGCAUAUAUGACAAUUGGUUAUCUUGCUUCGUUUUUAUAUAUAAUUUAUUAUUUUACUUUUAUAUAUGUAUGAUAAUUGGUCUCUUUCUAACAUUUCAAAGUUUAAUAUUCCAGCAGAUAGGACAAUGUUGAGGUUUGGAAACUCGGAACAUUUUGAAAUUGAUGGUUGGGAGGAGUUGGCUUCUCUAUCACGGUAUGGGUUUAGUUUAGUUGAACAACGUUUCAUUUUCAUUUGGUGUUGUCCUCGACUGCGGUCUUUGGAAGCAGAGGAAGCCGAAUUGCAACCUGACAAGAUUUCAUGUGUUGAAUCUCUGCGGAUAUAUGACUAUGAAAAGGUCAAUAGACUGCCACAAGUCUUACAUGAGCUCAUAUUUCUUACAGUGAUAGAAAUUGGUAAUUGUCGAAGCUUGGUUUCUUUUGCAAAGAAUAACUUACCUCCUAAUUUAAAAAAGCUGAGAAUUACAAAAUGUGAAAAUUUGGAGUAUUUGGUUGACGAAAAGAAGAUAAUAAGAGCACGUUUGGUUCGCUGUAUUGGAAUAGAGGCGUAAUGGAAUAGAGGUGUAAUAACAAAUCAAUUGUUUGGUUGAAUGUAAUGGAAUAGAGGCAUAAUAGUAAUCUUGUAUUUGGUUGAACGGAAUAGAGGUGUAAUAGCAUAAUGGAAAAAACUAAAAUGACUAGAAUACCCUUAGCAUAAAUUUAUUUUGGUAAAUGAUUAUUGUUAUUGUUAUUUAAAUUUUAAUAAGAUUAUUAUUAUCAAUAAUAAAUAAUUUAAUCAUAUUUAAACAUAAUUAUUAUUAAAUAUAUUAUAAUUAAAACAUAUAAUUUAAUAAAAUUCUUAAUAAUCAAUAUUCUUAUAUGAAUUUACUCAAAUCAUAAUAUAUGAUACUAUAAAAUAUAAAUUAACAUAAUAAUUAUUAAAUAUAUUAUAAUUAAAAUAUAUAAUUUAAUAAAAUUCUUAAUAAUUAAUAUUCUUAUAUGAAUUUACUCAAAUCAUAAUAUAUUAUACUAUAAAAGAUAAUUUUAAAUAAUUAAUAUUAAAUAUAUUUUAAUUAAAAUAUAUGAUUUAAUAAAAUUUAAAAUAAUUAUAACUAAUAAAUUAUCUUAUAUGAAUUUGUAUAAUUUAAAAUAAUUAUUAUUACAUAUAAUUUAAUAAUAAUAUAUAAUUUCAUAAAAUUCUUGAUAAUAAAUUUUCUUAUAUGAACUUAUACAAUUUAAAAUAAUUAAUAUUAAAUUUAAUUUAAUAAUGAUAUAUAAUUUCAUAAAAUUCUUAAUAAUAAAAUGUUCUUAUAUGAAUUUACUAAAAUCAAAAUAUAACUUGAGAAUUAUAUUCUGGAUAAACAUAAUUAACUUAUAUUAAGAAAAGGCUAGAUGAAAAUGAAAUUCUACAUCAUAAUCCAUAUGUUAUAUAGUUUUACAACAUCAAAAAGUUUGAACAUUGAUUUUUAAUGGUGAGAAAGAAAUUUUCUAACCCAUUCUAAUCGCGCAACAAAAGGUAAACUAAAGAAAACGAUCAUUUGGGUUGGAUGAUCUGGAAUUUUACUCAAAACGUCAUACCGCUGAUCGUCGGUUAAACCUUCAAUUUUCCAUAAGGAUGAAUAUAAAUUUGAAGCUUUCUCUUCCAUCUUUUGAUAUUCUUCUGACUUCUGCUGAAUUACCACCUCGAAGGCAAUACUCCUACUGAUUUGAUCGCCAACAGCCUUGAUGUUUUCGGCCAAUAAAGUGGCAGCCUCAUCAAAUGAAGAAUACAUAUUAUCACGAGCAUCGGAUUUCUUCUUUCUCUUGUUUAAAGAUGAGGAACCCCCUUGGUUUCUAUCUCCUCGCAGCUCCGAACCAGAAACAUCCAUGUCCUCCAAAGAGAAGUCAGCUUCGCAGUCAUAGAAUGUGUCUCUCUCUUCAUUCAUAUCUGUAGUAGGUACAUCCUCAGCAUUUAUUUCUUCAAAAACAUCAACAGCUGUUUGCGCAUCUUUCCCAGUCGCUCGAUCUCUUGCGUAUAUGGCAGUAAGCUGGUUGUAGUAAGGGAAAGUACGAUGUCUGAAUUGAGCGAAUUCUUUAUGACUCUAAAAAAAAUGAGGAAAUCAUAUUAGUUAUAAGUUUGGUAAAAAAAACAAAUAAAGACAUGAAAUACAUUUUACAUUUACAUAGGAGUCCCAAACUGCAUCUUCAGCAACAACGAGCUGCCUAUGCUCGUCCCAACCAAAACCGCUAUUGUUUUGGCCAUUAAGCAUGUCAUAGACGAUUGACCAUUCCCUUUUUAGUAACCUAAUCCUCGAUUCAAUAUUUGGUUUCGCCUUCAACAUUGCAUUUGGUAAAGCCUUUUCUAGCAUCUUUCCAACUCGUUCAAAUAACCGGCUUUGAACCCGGUACCAACAUUAAAUGUUCCAACAUUGUGCAAGUCCACCAUGCAAGAUCUUCUUCUGGAACCCAUUUUCUUUUGGUUCCUCGAGAAACUUGAGAAGAAGCAUGUGAUUGUGGAACACCUGACAUAAUUAUCUUAAAAAAAACAAAUUAACAUUAUGACAGAAUUUUUAAUAUCAUGAAUCAAAAGGUAAACAAUUUAUAAAAUUAUAUCGUUUGUUCAAUAUCAUGAAUCAAAAGCUCAAUACUAAAUUUAAAAUUAUAACACAUGCUGAAUGAAAAGAAAUUAAAUUAUAAUUCAACAAGUUUAGUACAGUACAGAAUUUUAUUCAAACACCACCAAAGUUUCAUAAAUUAAAUACAUAAAAUAACAUCAACAAAUUAAGUCAAACUCAAUUUGUCCCUAAACCUAACUAAUUUCUAGAUGUUUGCCAUUCAUCGAACAUUUGGUUGGCUAGUUCCAUCCUCCAAGUAGACCAAGCAUCCGAUGGAUGAAUAUUUGUGAUAUUCGGUUCAUCGUCAUCCACCACAUUACUAGGUAAUCCUUCUCCUACCUCCGCUUCAAUGGGAUCAAUACUCAUAUGGGUUCAAAUAAAAUUAUGGAGCAAACAACAUGCAAUAAUAAUUCUAUUGUGCACCCUUACAGGAUAGAACGAUGGACUCCUAAGUAUUCCCCAUCUAAGUUUUAAUAAGCCAAAGCAUCUUUCAAUAAUAUUACGUGCUGAGGCAUGUUUCAUAUUAAAAAACUCUUGCGGAGAACUUGACUGAUAACCCUGACGCCACUCGUUCAAAUGAUAGCGUUGUCUUUUAAAAGGUGCAAGAAAUCUCUCACAAGUUGUGUAUCCAGCAUCAACUAGAUAAUAACCUAUAAAAUAAUUUUUUUUUAAAUGAUUAAUUCAGCACAAAAAGUUUGAUCUUAAUGAACAAUAUCAAAGUCCUCUAACUGUCCACUUUACCAUGAGGAACAAUUAGUCUAUGUCUUCUACUAAUGGCAUCUCGAAGAACCCGUCCAUCGGCAACUGAACCUUCCCAACCAGGAAGAACAUAAACAAAUUGCAUCUCAGGUGUACAAACACCUAGUAUAUUUGUUGCUAUGUCACAUUUUCGCGUUCAAUAUCUAGGUUUAUCAACUGUUAGCACCCUAAUCUUGAUGUGAGUUCCAUCAAGAGCACCUAAGCAAUUCUAUAUCACAUGAUAUAAAACCUUGAGUUAGAAUACUAAUUUAAACCCAAGUCAACUAAAUGUUGUAUAAUCUAUAUAUAAAACUCAGUCCAAUACCUUAAACCAUUUCCACCUUUUGUCAUAAGAAUCGGUUGUAAUUGGCUCCGACUUUUUAAAUAACACAUCUUGUAAGCGUAUGACAGCAUUUAAAACACUAUGAAAUGCUCUGCUAACAGUUUCCCCGGACCUUCUAAAGUGAUGCUUGAUAACUCGAUUUUUCAGGUGAUGGGAGAUGAUAUGUAAAAACAUUGCUACUUGCUCAUCAACAAGCAUGUUUCUUGACGACUUCAAUCCCCCUAUCGAUUCUAACAUCUCACAUAGUUUAAAAAAAGCAGUUCUAUUCAUCCUAACUUGUUCAAUACAAGUCUCGUCACUAGCAUAUACAAGCCUUUUCACAUAAUCCCGUUUUGCAUAAAAAUCUAAGGUAUAUGACCUAAUCAUUGGUCUACAAGUUUGUAGGCUAAGGCUGGCACCCAUUCUAAAUAAGAACCAAAUCGUAAUUCUACAGAUUUCCAACCAUAUUGUCAAUGCAAUACCAAUUCUUUUACGCCUCUCACGUUGUGCAAUUAAAGGCAUACGAGCCAUUACUGCAACAUAUUAAAAUUAGAACACACUAUCAAAGAAUUGAAGUUGCAAUUAGACAUUAUCAAAUAAAAAUAAACAAUAUUAAUUUAGAACACACUAUCAAAGAAUUGGAGUUGCAAAUUAAAUUUUAUAAAAAUAAUUGAGAGUCAAACAAAUUAAAAAUGAGAGCAACUAGGUUAUUAAUUUUGGGGGAGUUGAUAGGAUUAUAUGGGGAUAAGAAAUUACAGCAAGGAACAUUGAAUCUAAAAGAAUCAAGAUGGCACGUGUUUAUUUUUAAUUAGUAAAAUUAUUAGUAAAAAUUUGCAUAAAUGAUUGAUAGCUAUUAACAAAUUUAAUAUUUUAAAGAUAAAUAGUUAAUAAGAAUAUAGUAAUAAACUUUAUCAUUGUAAUUAUAAAAAUCUAUAUAAUAUAUUGAUUCAGCAGAAAGUGUAUAUAUUUUUAUAAAUAUUACCUAAUUGAAAAUGAAUUCUAACUUAAUGUCUAAUUGUAAAUACAUUAUUUUAAUUAAUAAAAUAUUAUAAAUUCCAUAUUUUUGAAUAAUUCACAUAGAUAAAAUUUUUAAAAUAAAUAAAUAUUAAAUAUGUUUUUUAUAUUAAUAUUAAAUUUUAAUUGUUAUGCCAUGUUUUAUUUAUAUUUUGGAUUUAAAUGUAUAGUUUUAUAUUAAUAUUAUAUAAUCAAAAUGAUUUUAAUUAUAUUUCAAUUAAAAAUAUUAUAUAAUCAAAAUGAUUUUAAUUAUAUUUUAAUAUACCUUAAAUAACAUAAAUAAGAUUUUUAUUUGAGCUUAAAGUUAGCACAAUUUAUUUUAAUAAUGUUUAAAUUUGAACGAGAUCUUUGAAAGUAUCAAAAUCGUUAUAUUUUUAUCAUAAUUGAUAUUAAUACAAGAAUUGGUACUAAAGUUUGAUGUCCUUUUUAUAACAAUAUUCUGUCCAUGAAUUUCCUUUUUUUUUUGGUCAGCAAAUAAAAGUAUUAUUAAAAUCCAAAGAGUUAAAAAUUAACCACAAAGUUAAUAGAACACACUUUAAACACAUACCAAAAAGAGAUAACUUAAGCUCCUAUAAACCCACCAUAAAUAUUCGACAGUUGAAUGUAAAUCUUCAAAAGAUCCUAGAAUUCCAACGAUUUGCUUGAAAGUUGGACAAUGGAAGGUGGAGGAGAGAGAGCAACUGAAAGCAGCAACCAUGUGAUAAUUUUUUCAUGAUUGUUUGGAAAGAAAGGAAGUACAAAAGUAGAACACUAAGCUAAUUCAGAAUAUAUGUUGGAAUGAAUCAAAACAAAGCAGCAACCAUGUGAUAACUUUUUCAUGAUUGUUUGGAAAGAAAGGAAGUACAUCCACAAUUGAAAAAUGGGUUAAUGUUUGAUAUAUUGACAGAUUAUAAGUUUGACAGAUAAUUUAAAACUUUUAAAAGUAAGAUGAGAGAUUUGGUAAUGAAGAAAGCUUUGGGUAAUUUAUGUUCCUUGGGUGCCAUCAACUGGAGGUACAGGUCAUGGCUUCAUUUUCACUUCAAUAUAUAUACAGCCCAAUAAAAAAGGGUUUUCUUGGUUUCUCAUAUAUGGCCAAAAGCAGAUACAGUGGAAGGAGACCUUAUCAGCUAAAUAUUUCAAAAAGAAUGAAACGUAAGAGCAACAUAUAGGAAAAAACUCUUAGUUUCAUAAUUCCACACCAACUUGGAGAUCAAAUUAGCAGUAAAUGUACUUGGGUGUUAAUUCAUUAACUAGUCGUAUUAACACACAUUAAAAUAUGGAGAGCCAUGGAAAGCUACACUAUACCUAUACGAAAAGACUAUAUAUGGAGAGCUAAUUGAUGCAUGCAAAACUCCGAUUGCUACACAAUAUGAAUCUACAUUUUUUUCACCUCCAAAUUAACAGCACUAUUGGCAACAUCCAACAUGAGUUCUUAUGCUAAAACCAUGAAUCUCCUUUUCUUAUUAGUCUGUCUCCAUUCAUUUAUCAGUGAGCAAACAUUUCAAAGCAUUCAAAGUUGAAGUAGUCAAGUCAGUUUUAAAGAUGAUCUCUUUUUUUGGUACUUGCUCAAGAUAUAUAUAUUGGAAUCUCUGUCUAGUUUAGAUUCAUUCUGAAAACAACCACCGAGAAAUUUUAUGGCAACCAGGACUAUUUUGUAAACAUUUUAAGCACUAUGCUGUCAUUCUAGAGCUCAUUAUAUGCAUGUUAAAUUGCAAUAUCCAUGACAGAAUAUCAGAGUGUUUCUAUUCAACAGAAUUCUCAAAAAGCAUACAAAUCCAAACAGGACAUGAGCAUCAUAGUCCUUUGUUUUCAUUUCUGACUGAUCAAGCAGAUGGAGCCACUGCAAAUAAAUUAUAUAGCCACUGCAAACAAUUGUAUAGCCACAUGCAAUGGGGGGAAACUAACCUGUAACGAGGAAAUCGGAGAGGAGAUCGAUGAAGAACUGCUGGAGCAAAGAACCUGCAAUGAUCAACAACCAAAAAAAAUAAUGAAAAAAAAACCAUAACCGGCAAGAAACGAAAUGCCGAUUUGCCAAGAACUGAAACAAUCGCAUGCAGAGAGGAAAGAAAUAGGUUACUCAGAAGGCGGAGUUUACUGAUUCAAGCCGUCCGAAGAUCUGACACCGUCGAAUCAGAGAAAGAUGCAAAGUUGAAAUCGGGAUCGGCUAGAGGUUUGGUUCGCUGGGAGGGAAAGGGUCGGCUGGAGUCGAUUUCGGCAAGGGGAGGGUAAAUGAGACACCGAUUACCUAAUCUUUGCUUUUGCAAUGGAUUAGAAAUCGGUGGUGAAGCAGCCAAAAUGCGGAAUCCGUCCGCAACGGAUUAGGCCAGUAUUAGGGCAAUACAGCGAACCAAACUCUGUAUUCAGUGGGGCCACCGAUUCGGGGUGUAAUGGCUAAUCCAUUACACCCAACCAAACAAGGCAUAAGAGUAUGAGUAGUACCCUCUGUCUUCUUGAGGAGUUGUCUAUCUAUAAGUGUUCGUAGUACCCUCUGUCUUCUUGAGGAGUUGUCUAUCUAUAAGUGUUCGUCUCUAAUGUCUUUGUCAUCGAAAGGGCACAAAAAUAUUUGCAAUCAGCUUCAACUUCUCCAAAUUACCGAAUGCUCAAAGCUGAGUUGCCUAUUUUCAAACACCAAGUUUUCCCAUAACACUUAAACAUUUGAUAAUUGGGGAAUGUCCAGAGUUGGAAUACAUAGCCCAAAAGUUUGAGGAAACCGCUUGUCUUGAAUCUAUUCUAUUUUUCAGAUCUGGAAUUAAAUAUCUACCACGAGGACUAGGCAAGCUCAAACAUCUCCAGGAGAUUUGGUUGCUUUCGUGUUCAAAUUUGGUUUCUUUUGAAGAAAGUGGGUUGCUCACCACCAGCUUCAGAGCUUUUGUAGUUGAUGGUUGUGGAAAUUUUGGAACCCUCCUAAGUGCAUGGCCAGCACCACCUCCCUUCGACGAUUAAGUGUGCGCAACUCUUUGGCUGACAUAUCAUUUCCAUCAGAGGGAUUCCCUGCCAAUCUCACAUCACUUACAAUCUCAAAGACACCCAAGAUUUAUAGGUCACUUGUGGAAUGGGGAUUAAAUAGACUCACCUCUCUUCAAGAAUUGGUCAUCAGAGGUGUAGGAUGCUCAAACAUGUGUCGUUCCCAGAAAAAGGGACUGGAAUGAUGCUUCCUCCUUCUCUCACCCAUAUCAUCCUUUUAGAAUUUGAGAAUCUGGAAUACAUGUCAUCCAAGGGCUUUCAAGACCUCGCCUCUCUGAAAGAAUUGGACAUUGGUGAAUGUCCCAAGCUAACAUCUCUUCCGGAUAAAGACGUGCUUCUCUCGCUUGGAUAUUUACAUAUUUACAGUUGUCCGUUGCUGAAAGAAGACUGCUUAAGCGAUAAAGGGCGAGAGUGGUCUAAAAUUUCCCACAUACCCCUUGUUGAAAUUGAUGGUAAAAUAGUCAUCCCGAGGGAAUCAAACUGAAAGGGCAAUCAUAUAGCACACAAAAAAUCCUUUUCACCAACGUUAGUUUAUGGAACACGACAAGCAAUUGACUGGGGGAUUUGUUCAAAAUCGUUCUAGAUCCAAUCAUAGAAACAAAAAGGAUGAUACAAACCAUUCGACUGGUAAAAUCGAACGGGAUCUGAAAAUUAUGAGCUAGCAUGAUCUGGUAAGCACUUGAGGUCCAUCUCGACUUGGUGAAUAGUCCAUUGCAUAUUUUCUAGUUUCUGUAAUGUAAACCGGCGGCGUUAAUGUUUUGUUCAAAAGGAACCUUGAGUGAAACACCAGUUAAUUUUGAAGCUGAUGCCACCUUAACAACAUCAUGGUACUGCCUUGCAAUUGUAUCGAAGUGAGGAUCGACACCUUGAUACUCACGUAGGCGUGUUACCUGUUUAAAAGGGUUGUAACACGAACUGAGAUUGAGACAGACAAGAAAGAAGAAAAACCCGAAUGAGAAAUAACCCUGAGUUACGAAAAUAUGCAUAAUUUUGAAUGAAAAACCAAGUAUAUUCUAAUCAAACAUUAGGCUACCGAACCAGAUAAAGAAGAUUUUACAUACAGCUUUAUUAUACGCAGCAGAGGCUUCUUCGGUAGCCUCGACAGGAUAUUUCCUGCCAACAAUGCCAGACAUGGUUAUGGCUUGCUUUAAAACAAACAAAUAAAAGAGACGCUUAAAAAAAUUAUAACAAUGGGAGCAGUCCACAAUACAGCAAGAAAUAUAGGGCCACAAACCUUAGUUUUGCACUCAUGGUCUCGCACCUUUUGCAGAGCCACGUCUUCUGUAAUUCAUCCUGCAAAGUAAAAGAUGAGUUUAAAGAUCAGUCCAUGGAAGAACAUAUAAAACCCUCAACAGACGCUGGAAAAUAACUCCCAGAGUAUAGAAGCUUACAUAUUGAUGUUGAUGUUGCAACUUCAAAUCUUUGACGAGCUUAAUGAGCACUCCAAGUAUUUGCUCUAGGACCCGUUAAGAGAGAUUGUUUUACAUCACGUAUCGUGAAAAAUAUAGAGCAAACCCGUUCUCAAAACACUAUGUGAUCCAUGAAAAACUCCUGUUAAUAGAACUCAGUCUCACAUGGAUUUCUAUUAACCUACACUAUAAUAUUCUGCAAAUUUCCUAUCUGUGGAAUAGAGAUCCUCCCGCAAAGCUGCUUCUUCCCUCUCAAUCUCCUCAAUUAUCAACUUAACCCUGGUAAAAGAAAUAUCACAAACAGGUAAUCAACAUCGAGCAUAUAAGCCAACCCCAUCAAAAAGGUGGAGAAAGUAACUAAUACCUUUCUGGAAGCCGAGAGCUUGAACUUUGACUUCCAGAAGAUGAGUCUGCAGCACAAAAUGAAUAGUACCAAAGGGACCACAAUUCCAAGAAGCAAAUAUGCUUCAUAUAUUUGCUCUCACAUUCUAAUUUCGUCAUAUGUAAUCUACGCCUUUUGCAAUAAAAUGAUGGGCAACAAGAUCUAUGGAUUGAUAUCACAAACCAGUGAGGAAUUUUGGGACAGAACAUUAUGAAGGAUGCAUUGUUUCUGACAACAUGUUAAAACAAUGGGGAUAUAUAAACUAUUAGGCAUGUUGAGAAGUGAAAAAGGAUAAAGAUAUAUGAAUGUACCAAUAUCAUCAACAAAGGCAUCAGCUAACUUGUCACACUUAGAUUUCAACCGAGCAUCAAUCUCCCUUGAAAGAGUUAACUGAUAGUCAGCCAUAUCCUAAAUUUGCAAAUUAACAAAAAUUAUAGAAAUGUGUCAUGAUCUUGUAAGAAAGUUUAUGACAACUAAAACAAGGGCCUCUUUUGUAAUUAAAGAUCUUAAAACUUCCAUCUGCAAUCAUGAAACAAAGUUUUCAUACCAUUGACAAUGGUACUCGUUGAAGCUGAGUUUGCCACAAAUAAGCAGGUGUUAUUCCAAGAAAACGAUUAGGCACACCACCAACACCAGGUUCUCCUGAAUCACCAGUAUUAUUUGCAGCUGCACCACUGGUUGCAGCACUAUUUGCAUAAUUCAAUGAGUUUGAACUCGAGCUGAUAGUGAGACUGGUACUAGUACUAUCAAGCGAACUCCGUGACAUAAUACUCCAUUUCUCAAUUUCUUCCUCAUGAAUUUCCCCAUCUUUAGAUAUUAGAGGAAGUCUCAAUCUUUGAGCCGCUUCUGCAACAACUAAUCGAUGCUCUAGAGUCUCAUAAACCUAAAGUUCAUAAACACAAAGUAGAACCCUUAUCAGAUUCCCAACUAUAAAGACUGUUUUCUCAUCACUUUUGCUGCUUAUUUUUCAUAAAACGCUUUUUCUUUACUUUCGUCUCAAGUGUGAGGGUUGGAAACAGGUAUUAAUUGCACUUUCCUUAUAAAAUUAAAAAUUAAAAUUGAAAAUCAUACCUUUUUAACCAUUUUAGGUUUGUAAUAUUUAAUCUUUCAAGAAAAUAUUAAUUGCACUUUCUUUUUUGUUCCAAAAGAAAUUCAUAUAUCUAAUGUCCAAUAAGUUUCUCCUUUAACCGCAAACAUUCAAAAAGAAAAUUUAGAAAAUAAAAAUUAAUGAAAUUAAUAUGAAACCUGAGGAGAAUUCUUCAAUCCAAGCUGCGGAUAAAAACCUUGAAUAUCUCGAAUCCCUCCAAGAUUCGCCACGGAAACUGCUUGCUGAUACUCUUCCACCAUAGCCAUUGCUUCACAAUAAAUUACCUGCAAAAAUAGACACGAAUUUUACAUUUUAUUUUCUUACGAAAUUCAUGACAAAAAAAAUCCAGUAAAUGAAAAUUAAAUUAGAAUAUCACCAUUGCUUCUAAGUAGCGUAAUCUUUCUCUCGACAUUUCCUCUCUCGCCUGAAAAUCGAAAUCCAUCACGUUACUUGAAAAAAGAAGAAGAAGGAAUUACACAAGAAAAAAAUCAAAUUUUAAUAGAGAAUACGAGCUGGAGAUCGUAGUAGGCGGAUUUGGAGAUAAGAGAUCCAUCGGGAGAUAAGCAAUGGCGCUCUAGCUGAUCGAUUACUUGGAUGACGUCAGCCGGCAAGUUUUGCCCUCCUUUCACCAUGAAUUCAGUCUUGUUUUGGCUUCGAAACGAUGUUAAUGAGUUUUGUUUGUUUACUGGGAAAAUGAAAAGGAAACUAAACGAGAAAAAGGCCGGCCUUUGGAUUUUUGAAAACUUGAAUUGAAAUGGAUGCAAAGGUUAUCGAAGGAGUGAAAAGUAAAAAAUCAACCCUCUAUUUUUUUUUAUCGGAGAAAAUAAAUCAAAAACAUAUAUUUAUGGUUAAAAUCUUCUUUUACUCCUUGUAAUUUGACAAAAUUUUAUAUUUAGUCCUAUACUUUACAAAUUUAAAAAAUUAGCUCCUCCUACAUUUUUUAUUUAAAAAUAACAGCCCAAUCAUUAAAAUCGCAUGUAUUUACCAAAGUCAAAUUGACAUCAUGACUAGGUUGCCCUCAUGCAUUGUAACAUAUGUUUGAUAGAAAAUAAACAUGUAAAGUUGACAAAUUUUAAUAUAAACUACCAAUAACGAUAAUGAUUGAACUAAAAUUUUUUAAAUUAAAAAUGUAGGAGAAUUGAUUUUUUAACUUUUUAAGUUUAUGGACUAAAUCUCAAAUUUUAUAAAAAUAUAGAGACUAAUAAUAUAUUUAACAUUUAUUUAUGUUUAAGUUAAUUAUUGUUCAUUUUCUUUUUACCUCAAAUAAAUUAUUUAUCUCAAAAUUUAUUUAAUUUUUUUUAAAAAAUAUGUUAAGGAAAAAUAAGAUGAUAACUGCUGUAUAAAUUUAUCAUUUUAUUUUUAUAUAUAUGUAAUUAUUAAAAGAGUAAAAAUGUAAAAAUACAUUAUAGAAAAACACUUAUAUUUUAUGUUUAGAAUUUAUUUUCAAUUAAAAUUAUGUUUAAAUAUUUGUUUGUCUUUAAAAAGAUUAGAAAUAAUUAUUAAAAAUCACAUUGAAGUGAGACGAGGAGAGACGAAGAUGAAUGUAUCUAACAUAUAUGGGAAUUGUACUACUUUUUAAAAGGUAAAAUGACUUAUUUGGCCUUUCAACUUAUCAAAAAAAGUAAUUUUAGUCCUUUAUUUAAUUUUUUUACUUUUUUUAACCUUUAAACUUAUGCUUUGUUUGUCAAAUCACCUAAAAUAGAUGGAAAAAUUAAUAUAUAUUAAUUUUAUUGACGUGACAUACACGUUAAAUGUCACAUAGAUGUUAACUCAAUAAUUAAUUAAUUUUUAAAAUUCAAAAAUAUAUAAUAAAUUAUUUUAAAAAAAUAAAAUUUAUUAAAUUUAUUAAAAAUAUUUUUUUAAUAAUUUUAAUUUUAAAAAUUGGAAUAAUUGUUAAUGGAUAUACCAGAGGCGAAUCUAGGGGGCUUGCAAGACCCUGACCCCCUUAAAAUGGAAAAUUACUAUUUAGGCUCUUUAAAAUUUUGUAAAUUUUAAAUUAAUAAAGGUAAAAUUGUACUUUAGCUACCCUAAAAUUAUAAAAAUUUGAUUUAAUCUUUUAAAUAUUAUAAAGAUAUAGACUAUAAAAAAUUAAAAAUUUCAUUCGCCCCUAAAAAAUUAUUCUGGCUUCUCCCCUGGGACAUACAUAUGGAUUGCUACAUCAGUAAAGUUAACAAGCAUUAAGUUUUUCAUGCAUUUUGAAGUGAUUUGACAAAUAAUAAAAAUUUAAAGAUUAAAAAAGAUGAAAAAAAUAAAUGACUAAAAUGAAAUUUUUAUAAAAUUGAAAGAUGAAACAAAUUAUUAUACCAUUUCUUUUGUAAAACAGAGCAAAAAUAUCUCAAUUUUUACAAAAAAUUAGACAUGUUUAAAAUAUGAGUGAAGCUCGAACUUAAACAUUCAAUGCUCAAACUUAGCUCAAUUCGACUCACUUUUAAGUUUAUAAUACUUUAUAUUAUAUUAUAUAAAUUAUAACACAUAAAAAAUAUAUUAAAUAUAUAAUACUACUCUAAUGUAAAUAUUAAAAUAAUGUUAAGAUGUCUAUGUAAAAAAUUAAUAAAUAAAAAUAUAUAAAAUUAUAAAUAUUAAAUUAAAAUAAUAUAAAUAUUUUUAAAAAUUUUAAAAAUUAAUAUGGACGGACUUAAAAUGGAUUUUAAUUAGUAUUUUGUAAAUACAUACAAGCUUGAAUAAAAUUUUAGGUUCAUAUUUUCUGAUUUUCAGCUUUAUUCAAAAGUUUAGAUAAAUUAUUAAAUUACCCCACUUGUAAUUUUUGUAAAAAAAUUUCUGAUUCAAAGCGAACCCACACUCGGCAAACGUGAGCUUAAGGGCAGCGAAGAAGACUACUUGGUCAAAGCGUUCAUCCUAAAUGAAUUGAAAAAGUACACUUUUGAUUAAUUGUUUAAUACUUUAGAUAUCACAACUAAAAUCUUGUUUUGAAAAAAUUUUAAAACUCUAGCUGUAACAGGCCCAAUUGGCCCGGUUGUAACACCCCUUACCCGUAUCCAACACCGGAAUAGGGUAUGAGGCAUUACCAGAACACAUACACUUGUAAACGUAUUUAACCGAGUUAUAAAAUUUCGUCUAAAUUAAAACUUUCAAAAUUAUUAACAUGCUUUUAUAACUCUUCACAAUAUAUCCUCAAAAUAUUAUAAUCUUAAUAAAUAGGGCCUACGAGACCUGAUACAUACUCAUGCAAUUCAAUGCUUCAUUUCCAUUUCAUUCAAUUCGCAAUUUCUCGUGCUCACAAUUUAAAUCAUAUCACUAGCAAUUUCCAUUUAAUUCACGUACAAUUCAAUGCCACUAAGUUUAACACUGACACGUAUUUACCAUUUAUCUCAACGUUUAUCGAUUAUACCAUUCAUUAACACAUUUAUGAAAUUCUCAAUUUUGCAAUAUAAAUAUCACAUUAGCUUAAAUAACAACAUCAUCCUGAUACAAAUACACAACCACUUACCCAUUUGCUUUAAUUCUUUUGGGCCCAAUUGUCACUUACCAUCCUUAAUCAAAUUAGGGAUCGGUUACGAAAAAUUGAGUACUUCACUUUCACUUUGCCAUAGUAUAACUAUGGUCCUACGUAUGAUCUCUUAUCACUUGUCCCUGAUCAGAUAAGUGUAGCUAGGCUACCACUUAUCACUUUGUCUCUUGAUCAGAUAAGUGUAGCUAAAGCUAUCACUUAUCACUUUGUCACAUGAUCAGAUAAGUGUAGCUAAAGCUACCACUUAUCACUUUAUCACUUGAUUAGAUAAGUGUAGUUAAAGCUACCACUUAUCACUUUGUCACUUGAUCAGAUAAGUGUAGCUAAAGCUACCACUUAUCACUUUCCACUUGUCACUUAUCACUGAUCAGAAGUACUCAAAUUCGACGUUCCGCUCAAUUUGAUCAUUUAUUCGGUUUUCGCAUUGUUAUUUUAUUUUCAAUCCAUCAACAAAUACAUAUCAUCAUACAUAUUAAUUCAUGAAUUUAACAUUUAAUCGUUAAAUUUCAGCCAUAUAAACUUACUAUUUUAUUACCUUUCCACACUCAUUUCUUAUGCAUAUCACACAAGAUAUAAACAUAUCAUUCAAUCAAAGUCGCAAGCUAGUGUAUUUAAACGUAACUCUUUUUGAAACUAACCACAUGAUAAACCAUUUCAAUGCAUAACUUAUAAAUUUAACGUGGCAUAAUUCAACCAUUACUUGGCCAAAGCCUAAGCAUGUAUACCAAAUAUGAUAGCCAAAUACACAUAUAGCAUAAGCAUUAUAAGCAUGGAUGAGCACAACAUUUAUUAAUGUCCCACACUUACCAACAUGUGUUAAUUCAUAAACCAUUCAUGACAUUACUUCAUGCCCAAUCAUAUACCAAAUAUACUAUUCACACAUACUAUGAAACUUUAUUUUCACACAUGAGCUUAAACCACGUCAAUAAUACACAAAUCAUUCAUAUAUUUUCCAAUUUUCCUCCUCCUUCUCUCCAAUCCACAUCCUUAAUGUGUAUAACACACUUAAACAAUAUUAACUAUAAUUUCACUAUUCACUCACAUGUAUAUUCAAAGCUAUUUAUCCGAGUCAGAGUCACUAAAUUAUUUUUAUCCGGAGCUACAGAACUUCAAAUUAAGAUCCGUAAAUUUUCCCCGAAACUAGAUUCACAUAUCUUCUUACCAUAAAAAUUUAAGAAUUUUUUGUUUAGCCAAAUAGUACAGUUUAUUCUUUAAAGCUUCCCCUGUUUCUCUUCUCGACAAUUCUGACCUCUCUUCACUAAAAAUUAAUUAUCUCAUUGUACAAAAUUCGAAUGAUGUUUUCGUUUGUUUCCUUUGAAAAUAGACUCAUUAAGGAUUCUAACAUAUAAAUUAUAACUCAUAACUAUUUUUGUAAAAUUUUUAACAAUUUUACAAAUUCAGAACAGGGGAACCCGAAAUCAUUCUGACAUUAUCUAACAAAAUUUAUUAUAUCUCAUGAUUUACAAUUUCAUUGCUUUCACCGUUUAUUCUAUGAGAAACUAGACUCAAUAAGUUUUAAUUUCAUAUUUUAUUCAUCCUCUAAUUCUAUGAGAAACUACUGCUGCUGUCCAAAACUGCUUUAGUGCAAAAUGUUGAUUUCCAUUUUGCCCCAAAUUUCACAGGUUAUACAAUUCGGUCCUUUCUCAAUUAACCCCUCAAUUGAUAUAAUUUUCUCAAUAAUACUUUACCUAGACAUUAUGAGUUAUUUCACAACUAUUGAAAUUCAGAAUUUCCACAUAUAACUCUAACUUCAAACUCUUUUACUAUUAGGUCCCAAACAUUCACUUUCGAUUCAAUUCUUUCAAUAAAAUCAGCAUAUGAACAAUUUAAAGCUCUAAUUCCAUGCUAAAUCAUCAUAUACUUCCAGCACAUAUUCAUAGUAACUUUCAACUUCUUUCAUAGAAUCAAAAACUAAUAAAUUCAACAAGUGGGCCUAGUUGUAAAAGUCACAAAAAUACAAAAGUUUCAAGAAAUAAUCAAGAAUUGAACUUACUUGGAGCAAAAAUAUGAAGAACCAGCUUGAAGAAACCCUUCUAUGGUGUUUUAGCUGAUGAGAAUGCAGAAAAAAAUGAAUAGAAUUCUCGAUAAUUCCACUUUGGUCCUAACUUUAUUAAGCAAAUUUUGCAAUAUUCCAAGUUUACCCUUAAUUCUCCUUACUUUCUUGCUGAUUUCAUGCCUUUGCCGUCCAGCCCAAAUAGACCUUGGGUCUAUUUUCCUUUUAAGCCCUCUUCCUUUUAUCAUUUAAGCUAUUUAAUCAUUUCCUAUAAUUUUUGCAUUUAUUACAAUUUAGUCCUUUUUGUUCAAUUAAUUAUCGGAACUUUAAAAUUUCUUGACAAAACUUUAAUACCAACUUUUUAACACUCCAUAAAUAUUUAUAAAUGGCUCGGUUUAAAAUCUCUGAGAGCUCAAUACCUCGUUUUCGAUUCUAAUUAUUUUAAUAUUUAUUUUUAGUGCACUAUUCACUAUUUCAAAGUUUUUCCUAACUUCACAUUUAACUUAUACUCACUAAAUUAAUAAUAUUUUCUACUCAUUUGUCGAAUUUAGUGAUUUGGAAUCAUCAUUCCGACACCUUUGAAAAUUCAGGCCAUUACAUUUUUUCCUCGUUGGAUUUGUGGUCCCGAAACCACUGUUCCGACUAGACCCAAAAUCAGGCUGUUACACGGGCCCUUUACAAAAUAAAAAUGGGCAGUCCAGGCCCAAUAACUCUAAACCUAGCCCAAUUAACACCCCAAAUUCCCUAAACCCUAGCCGCAUAUUCUUCAAACACUAGUAGUCGCCGCAGGCCGCAACAGUAGUCGCCAUUUGCGCGAGUUGCGCCUUCGCGUGCGCGCACACUCCUCAACAGCCUCCGAACCUAUGAAAAAGGAGGCCUACAGCGCAGCAAUAGCAACAAACACAACAAAUAUUGUUGGGGAAAUAUAUUUUUUUCCUAUUAUUUUAUUUUCAGCUAUUUAUGGCCGUUAUCAAUCUGUAAAUGGGGGAGACAAGAUUAAAAAUACAGAUUCGAUUUUUUAACAAAGGUUUUUUUCCGUCUUAUUUAAUCGGUGUUCGUCAUUCACGAUUCUUUUUUCUUAUUUUUUUGUUUUAUUUUUUUAUUUCGUUUAAAAUAUAAAAAAGAAGAAAGGAAGCUUACCUCUUUUGCCAGAGUCGUCGAAUUGGCGCCACCUCCGUCGCGAUCCGAACCCCGGCGCGCAGUUGAACGGCGGCGCGAAGAACGGGUUGAAAACCCUAGCAGAGCUUUCGCACUCUUUUUGUUUUUUUUCUUCUUUUCGUUAUGCUGCAAAUGAAAUUUAAAAAAAACUGUUUUAAAUUGUAUUAGUGAAACGGCGCCGUUUGGUAUUGGGGAAGGGGGUCCACGCGUUGACCCGACCCGCAUCAGGGUCCGUGCGUAUCAACCUUGAAUGGUAGAUUUGCACUAUUAGUCCCCCAUUUUUGCGACGCAUUUCAAUUAAACUCAUUUUGUUUUUUAAAUUAGCCGCAUAUUUCAUUUCUGUUUCAAUUUGGUCCCUCGCUGCGCAGCAUUUUGGAGGGUGGGAUUAAUUUCCCUUUUAGUCCCCCAUUGUUGUUCGCGUGUUCAAGUUUGUCCUUUUCUAUUUAUUUUCGAAUCUACCCCAUUUUUUUGUUUUUAAGUUCAAUUUAGUCCAUUUUUAGCUUUGUUUUUAUAUAUUCUUUUUUUAUGUUUAUCAUUAUACCAUUAUUUAUUAUUAUUAUAUUAUUUACUAUCACUGUUAUUAUCAUUAUUUCUAUCUUCAUGCACGCAUUAUCUUUUUUUAUAUAUAAUACAUAUAUGCAUGCUUUUUUUUACUUGCAUAUUUUUUAUAAUAUAUAUAAUGCAUUUUAUGUAGUAUAUGUAUACCUGCAUACAUUUUAUACACUUUUUUUAUUUUUCAUUUUAUUUCUUAACUUCUAUAUACAUAUAUAUACAUUUUCAUAAUUUCUUAAUAUAUUGUUUUUUUCAUUUUUAUAAAUACAUGCAUUUUUUACAAAACAUAUAUAUAUCUUUUAUAUUUUAAUUCCGAAAACAUUUGUUUUACUUUACUUUUGUAAAUAUAUACACAUAUUUACAAAUUUACUUGUAUCUUGUGCUUAUAUUUUGUAAAUACAUAUACAUUUUAAAUUAAAGUAUUUAUUUCAUAUUGUACAUUAACUUUAAACAUACCAUUUGGGAAAUAUAUUUCGGUUUUGUCAAUAUAUCAAAAUCAUUUUCUCUUGAUUCGAAGUUUUUUUGAAUAAAAGAAAUAUUCAAAGUUUGGGAUUUUCGAGGAAAUUGAGCCCUAACGCAUUGGGUUCCGAUUUUCUUCGUUAAUUUUAAAUGGCCGAGAAUAUUCUUUAUUCAAAAUGCAUGAGUAUAAAAAUCAUUUUCGGGAACUUAACUUGUUGCAUCCUAAUGUAUUGGGCAUGACAUAUUGCUUUCUCAAAAUGAAGAUUUUCGCAUAAAAACAAUAUUCAAAGUUCGAGGAUUUUGAGAAAUUGUACCCUAACGUAUUGGGACUCGAUUUCUUUACAUGACUUGAACAAUUGAUUAUUCUUUUUAGAUUUCAUCAUUUGAGUUGUUUUUAAAAAAAAUUUUAGCCCUCGACACUAAGACAUCAAAUAAUCAAUUUGGUACCGAUUUUGGGCGCCACGAGGGUGUUAACCCUUCCUCGUGCGUAACAAACUCUCGAACUCGUUUUCUCAAAAUUCGUAGGCCAAAAUAAUUUUUAAGAGGAGCCGAUCACACCUUAAUAAAGGAUCGGUGGCGACUCCAGUUUUAUUUUUAAAAGUCGACAACUAAAUUUUUUGUUUUCAAAAAAUGGUUUCGACACUAGUUUUUCCCUAAUUUUAUUUUCACCUGUGUUUUCUAAACUCAUUUUUUUUUCCAAAAACGUACUCAUGAGUCUUCAAAAAAAAAUAGUACGUCUUCAACGGGUUUAUCAAACAUGAUUUCUUUUGAACCAAAACGUUCAGGCCGGGUUUGGGGUAUUACAAAUCACUUAGUCCUCGAAUUUUCUUGGGUUCAAUCCUUAGAAUACUCGAGUGUUCCAUUAUAACACUAAAAAUAUUACAACUCGUGUAACAACCCAAUUUUCAGUGAUGUCAGAGAUCGUGGUUCGGGGCCACUAAAUCCGACGAGUAAGUUCAUAAAUAUUGUUAUUUAAUAUUUACAUGUCAAAUGUGUUUAUUAAAAAAGUGCAUUCCUGGGACUCCGUUCCCACAAAACAGACUCAUAUAUAUUUUUAAUAAAUAUUUACGAAGCUAGUUGUGUAGUUAAUUAGGUUUCGAUUAAGUAAAUUUGCUUGAAUUAAAAGUAAUUAGAUAAAAAGACUAAAUUGAAUUGAUUGUGAACGUUUAAUUAUGAAAUAAAUAAAUAAAAGGGACUAAAUUAGCAAAUAAACAAAAAAAUGUGACACUUGUGUGGUUAUAAUAAAAUACAUGUGUAAUAAAUAUAUACAUACAUUUGUAAUAAUAUGUAUAAUUUACUUAUUAUUUAAGUAUAAGAUAUUUUAGAUUAAAAUAUUAUUAUAUUAUAUUAUUAUUAUAAACAAAAGAAAGAAAAGAAAUAAGAAAGAAACAGAAAGCUUAAAACGAAACAGCGAAGGAAAGAAGGAAAGAAAGAAAAGGGAAAAUUGUGGUUUUGAAGUUCCGUCAAAUUAGGGUGGGUUUGGAUGGGCGAUGCGGUGCGAUGCGGUGCAUUUAGCUUACUUUUUGUCUCACGCUACAGUAUCACUACAGUAUCUAAUCUCACCGCCACCGCUAUUUUUACACUAACCGCAGAUAAACGCACCGCCCAUCCAAACUCAAGGUUAGUCCAUAUUCUUGUAAUUUUGAUAUUUUUGAAAUCCUAAAAUAAAAUACUACUUGGUUUAAGUUGAAAUUUUGAAAGUUAGUAAAUUUUUAGAUGUUGUUCAUGUUGAAUUAAUUGAUGAAUUAGGGAUUAAAUUGAUUGAAUUUUAAGUUAGAAGUUAGUAAAGGGUUGAUUUGUAAAAUAAAACAUGAGUUGAUUAAACUAAAAUUUACAAGUGCAAAUGUGUUAAAUUAGCACCCUUUUUGUGUGAAGUGAGUGAAUCGCUUCUUAAACAAUAAUGCCAUCAUCAACUAUAUGUCUACCCGUGAGAAAGCUAUACUGGAAGGGGAAAAUGAGUUUUUAAAGGAAGGGAUGAAGGUGAUUGACCGUUAUUUUAGUAAUGAUCUUAUAGGUGAUUAAUUCGAGAUACAAGAAUAGCGGAGAAGACCGUUUAGUAUAAAGCCAUGAAAUAACUUAAAUCCAUGUAUUACAAAACACAUAUAAUAACUUAGUUAAGGUUUUAUUUUUAUAAAUAUAAAAAAUUAAAUUUAUGUGUAAAUAUAUUAUUUUUAGACCAAUUUUUCCAACAAGUUAAAUGAAUCAUUUCCAAUUGAAACCGAGAAUGAAACACCCCAAUAAGAAAAUGCAACUAUGAUAAUCUUAUGGAUAUAUGUUAUUUUAUAGUUUCUUGUAAAUUAAAAUUUCAUUUGCCCCCUAAAAAAUUAUUCUGGCUUCACCCCUGAGACAAACAUGAAUUGGCACAUCAGUAAAGUUAACAAACAUUAACAUUUUCAUCUAUUUUAAAGUGAUUUGACAAACAAUAAAAAUUUAAAGAUGAAAAAAUGAAAAAAAAUGACUAAAAUGGAAUUUUUAUAAAAUUGAAAGAUGAAACAAAUUAUUAUACCAUUUAUUUUGUAAAACAGUGAUGACAACCCCUCUCAAUUGCCAUCCUUGGUGUUAGCAACCCCAAAAUGGUAGGUAAUGUUGAUAUAAAUAUACAAUUAUUAAUUGUUCCAAGUGCAGAAAACCACAAUAAUAACUUUAUGAGAAACAAAAUUAAGAAAAUAAAUGAAAAUGUUUGAGCAAAAAUAUCUCAAUUUUUACAAAAAACUAAACAUGUUUAAAAUAUGAGUGAAGCUCAGACUUAAACAUUCAAGUCUCAAACUUAGUUCAAUUCGACUCAUUUUUAAGUUUAUAAUACUUUAUAUUAUAUUAUGUAAAUUAUAAUACAUAAAAAUAUAUUAAAUAUAUAAUACUACUCUAAUGUAAACAUUAAAAUAAUGUUAAGGUGUCUAUAUAAAAAAAAUUAAUAAAUAAAAAUAUAUAAAAUUAUAAAUAUUAAAUUAAUAUAAUAUAAAUAUUUUAAAAAAAUUAGAAAAUUAAUAUGGACAGACUUAAAAUGGGUUUUAGUUAGUAUUUUGUAAAUAUAGACAAGCUUGAAUAAAUUUUUAGGUCCAUAUUUUAUGAUUUUCAACUUUACUCAAAAGUUUAGAUAAAUUAUUAAAUUACCCCAUUUGUAAUUUUUGUAAAAAAGUUUUUGAUUCGAAGCGAGUCCACACUCGGUAGACGUGAGCUUGAGGGCAGCGAAUAAGACUACUCGAUCAAAGCAUUCAUCCUAAAUGAAUUGAAAAUGUAUAAUUUUGAUUAAUUGUUUAAUACUUUAGAUAUCACAACCAAGAUCUUGUUUUGAAAAAAAAUUAAAACUCUGGUUUUUCCCUAAUUUUAUUUCUCCUAUGUUUUCUAAACUCGUUUUUUCCAACAACGUACUCAUGAGUCUUCAAAAAAAAAAGUUCAUCUUCAACGGGUUAAUCAAAUAUGAUUUCGUUUGAGUUUAAGAGUUUUGCCAAAAUGAAGUAAUAUUGUUUUCAUAUACAGUGUAACCUCCACAAUCUAACCUUAACGUUUAGGCUGGGUUUGGGGUAUUACAAAUCACUUAGUCCUCAAACUUUCUUGGGUUCAAUCCUUAGAAUACUCGAGUGUUCCAUUAUAACACUAAAAAUAUUACAACUCGACUUGUCACACUUGUAGUACACUGCUAGAUUGUUGAUUGUUUUGUGUUUAUUAUUAUCCCCAAUGUGCGUUGUCAAGUUGUUGGCGCCGUUGUUAGGGAGUUUGUGUGUGAUUGAAUGAUUUGCUUGAUUAAUGCAUGUUUACUAGGGAGAUAAUUAGCAAAACUUAAUUCUAUAGAUAUGACACUUGUUUUUCUUGCAAUUGCUCGUUUAUUUUCUUCGUUAAGUAUUCUUGAAAUUGAAAACUUAUAGAAUAAUCUUGACAUCACCCUUUCACAAUGGAGAGCUAUUUUUGCACUGAUCUUUCUUCUCAUUUAUUCUAGCUUUACGGUGUUAUUGAAUCUCAUACCUACUCUUUGCCUAUCUUGAAAUGUACACAACCAUCGUCACCUUCUACAAUUGCUUCAUCGAAAAGAAUGUACACCAAAAUCAUUAAGUUAUUCAUCUUCAAAACGAUUUUUGUUUUUUCUUCUACUAAACACAAAUAUUUCACAAAUAUUUCAGUUGAACAGUUACAACAAUGUUAAAAAAAAUAUAGUAUAUUUAAGGAUUGGUGCUACCAAAGAGCUUGGUGGCAACAAAAAAAUUUUAAUGGAAAAGAAUAUAGCUUGGUGCCGCCAAUGAGGAAAAUGACACAAAAAAAAUAAAGCUUUCUAACAAAAAAUACAUCGGUGUCACCAAUGGCAAUGGCAACACAAAAAAAAAUUAUUUUUUAAAACAUUAUUUUUUUUCUAAUGGCUGUUGCCAAGGAGAACGACGUCACAAAAAAAACUUUUGUACUAAUACCGCCAAUGACAGCGACGACACCCAUUAAAAUAAUUUUUUCCUUUUUUACGACACCCAUUAUUUCCUUUUUUUCUUUUUCUCCUAGAAUACCAGUAUUUUUAUGGGGUGGACAAUUAUAUAUACUGGUGCCGCUAAUGGCAUGACGGCACUCAAAUUAAUUUGGUAAAAAAUAAUUUUAAAAUAAUAUUGUUGGGAGGGAUAGUCACAUAUUUUAAAUAUGGAUUGUAAAACGGACAUGAAGAAUAACAAAAAAUAAAGCAUAGUUUGUAACAUUCCUUUUGUAACGAAAAAUGGUUAGGGGUGAUUGUUUUGUUAUUUUUCGAAAGUUGAAUGUUUGAAUUGAAACUUAAGUGAUUGUUUUGUCAGCUAUACGAAAGUUGAGUGAUUGUUGGUGUAAUUUACCCUUUAAAAAAUUAUAAAAUUUUUAAAAAAUUCUAAAAAAAAAUAAAGAAAGUUUAAAAAGUAAAAAAUUUCUAGAAUAAUAAUUUUGAGGACUUAAAUAAGUUAAUUUAUGAUUCAAGUUUAUCGUAAUAAAGUAUUUUUUAUUAUUAUUAUUUUACUUUGAAUUUUUUUUAAAAAAUUAUGUGCUAUGACAUUUAAUUAAUUAUAUUGUAACAAGAUUUUAAUGUAACAUGUUUAAUUUUUUAAUUUAACUUGAACAAUUUCACUCGAUUUGGCUCGACUUGAAUUUUAUUUCACUUGACCCGAUUCGAAAAAAAUUCAAAUCGAGUUAGGAUGAUAAAAUAGGAUUCACCAAUUCAAUUAAUAUGAAAAAUUUUCACUCGAUUCAAUAGAUCGCUCACUCCUAUCCAUAGAUGCCAAAGUACUAUAAUCAUGACUAAUAAUUACUUUAAUUCCAAUAGGCAUGAAAAACUCGUUGAUAUUAACAAUUAAAUUAAACUUGACUCUUAUGAGUGUUAAAAUAUCUCUAAAAAAUAUUUCAAAAAACAAUUUUAAAGAUACAUAUUUUAAUAAAUAAUCAAUACAUUUAUAAAAUCAAAAUAAAAAAUAAAAUAAUUAGUAUAAAUUUAAACUUAAAAUUAAAAAUAUUAAUAUUAAUAAAACUUUAAUAAAAAAUAAGUAAUAAAUUCUAAUCUUUAACUAAAAAAUAAUGUAUAUAACUCAAAUCCAUUGAAUAAAAUUAAUUUAUUGUUAACUUAUGGCAUUAAAACACAAAGACUUGUAUGGCGUAAAUAAUUACAAUUAAAUUAAUUUACAAAAUAUAAUGUAUUAAUCAUUCCAAAAACUCUGACCUGUUUUCCACUUUCUUCUGUUUUCCAUCUCAUUUGUCUCUAUUCGUUGGCUUCAACUCCAUUCCCUGUUAUCCCCAAUCAUACACAAUCUAUCUCCAUUCCUUUCCCUCAAUCUCCCCUUCCUUCUUCAUCUCUCCCUUUGAUUUCUUUGUCCCAAUUCCACCAUGUCUGUCUUUGGAGAGGCUGCUCUUUCUGCCUUUUUGGAGCUGUUGUCUGCCAAGUUGCUUGGCUCUGUACUCAACUUUGUGGCCGGUCACCGGCAACUCCACCACCAACUUAAGCUGUGGCAAUCCAUAUUACCCGAGAUCAAAGCAGUGUUGAACCAUGCAGAGGAGAAGCAGAUCAAGGACGAGGGUGUGAAGAAUUGGUUGGGCGAUCUCCAAGACUUAGCUUACGAUGUGGAUGACAUCUUGGACGAGUUCGCUUACCAAGAGUUACGUCUCAAGCUCCAAAAAACUCAAGCACAAGCCAGCUCUAGUAAGGUACGGAAACUCAUUCCAACCUGCUGUACUGGUGGUCAUUUCUCUCCAUUCUCUUUUAUGUUCAAUGCUAAGAUGAUUUCAAAGAUACAAGCAAUCACUGAUAGACUGAAUAGUUUGAACACUCGAAGAAGUAGUUUGGGGUUCAGUGAGAUCAUGUCUCAAGGCGUAACUUCCAAGGGAAAGAAACCCAGGCUGCAACCAACUUCCUUGAUGGAUGGAGCAGUGGAGUAUAUUGGUAGAGCCAAUGAGAAGCAAGAAACGCUUGAGUUGCUCAAAAGUAACAAUUCCGAUGGAGUUUGUGUCCUUUCCAUCCUUGGCAUGGGAGGGAUGGGGAAAACAACUCUUGCUCAGCUUGUUUAUAAUGAUCCCAGCAUUAAGGAGUCUUUUGAUCACAAGUCCUGGGUAUGCGUUUCUGAUGACUUUGAUGCUGUUAACAUAACAAAGACGAUUUUAAGAUCCCUCGAUGCUGACUCACGUGAUGAGAAUGACUUGAACUUGCUUCAAGUCAAGUUGAAGGAGAAGUUAUCCGGAAAAAGGUUGUUGCUUGUUUUAGAUGACAUUUGGAAUGAGAGUUACAGUGAUUGGAACAUCUUACGGGCUCCAUUUGGAGCAGGAACCAAGAUUAUUGUAACAACUCGACUCCAAAAGGUUUCAUCUAAUGUCGAUUCAGUGAAAGCAUUUUACUUGGAUAAACUCUCGCAUCAUGAUUGUUUAUCCAUAUUUGCUCAGCAUGCAUUGAAAGCAAGAAACUUUGAUGGGCAUCUCCAAUUUAAAGAAAUUGGAGAGAACAUAGUGAGAAGGUGCAACGGCUUACCUUUGGCAGCAAAAGCCAUUGGAAGCUUAUUACGGACAGUUAAGAAUCAUAGUGAAUGGGAAAAAGUAUAAUAUUCCUCUUUGCAAACUGGUGGAUGAUUGCUCUUCUUCUGCAAAGGAGGUUUCCUCUUUGCAAACUUUGUCUCUUUCUAACAUUUCAAAGUUUAAUAUUCCAGCAGAUAGGACAAUGUUAAGGUUUGGAAACUCAGAACAUUUUUCAAUUGAUGGUUGGGAGGAGUUGGCAUCUCUAUCAUGUUUGGGUUCAGUUUAGUUGGACAUCGUUUCAUUUCCGUUUCGAGUUGUCCUCAACUGCAGUCUUUGGAAGCCAAGGAAGCCGAAUUGCAACCUGACAAGAUUUCACGUGUUGAAUCUCUGCGGAUAUAUGACUGUGAAAGGCUCAAUAGACUGCCACAAGUCUUACAUGAGCUCACAUUCCUUACAGUGAUGGUAAUUUAUAAUUGUCGAAGCUUGGUUUCUUUUGCAGAGAAUAACUUACCUCCUAAUUUAAAAAAGCUGACAAUUGAUUCCUGUAAGAAUUUGGAGUAUUUGGUUGAUGAAAAAGAAGAUAAUAAGAGUAUGAGUAGUACCCUCUGUCUUCUUGAGGAGUUGUCUUUCUAUAAGUGUCCGUCUCUAAUGUCUUUGUCAUCGAAGAGGCAUAAAAAUAUUUGCAAUCAGCUUCAACUUCUCGAUAUUUCUGUCUGCUCAAAGCUGAGUUGCCUAUUUUCAAACACCAAGUUUCCCAUAACGCUUAAACAUUUGAGAAUUUGGGGAUGUCACAAUGUUGGAAUACAUAGCCGAGGAGUUUGAGGAAAGCGCUUGUCUUGAAUCUAUUAAUAUUACAGAUUCUGGAAUUAAAUCUCUACCACGAGGACCAGACAAGCUCAUCCAUCUCCAGGAGAUUUGGUUGGAUUGGUGUUCAAAUUUGGUUUCUUUUGAAGAAAGUGGGUUGCCCAGCACCAGCUUCAGAGCUUUCAAAGUUAGUGAUUGUGCAUGGCCAAUCACCUCCCUUCGACGAUUAAGGGUGUUCAACUGUUCGGCUGACAUAUCAUUUCCAUGGGAGGGUUUCCCUGCCAAUCUCACAUCACUUGCAAUCUCAAACGCACCCAAGAUUUAUAGGUCACUUGUGGAUGGGGAUUAAAUAGACUCACCUCUCUUCAAGAAUUGACCAUCGGAGGUGGAGGAUGCUCAAACGUGGUGUCGUUCCCAGAAGAAGGGACUGGAAUGAUGCUGCCUCGUUCUCUCACCCGUAUCUUCCUUUCAGAAUUUGAGAACCUGGAAUUCAUGUUCUCCGAGGGCUUUCAAGACCUCGCCUCUCUUCAAAGACUGGAAAUCAGUGAAUGUCCCAAGCUAACAUCUCUUCCGGAAAAAGACGUACUUCUGUCGCUUGGAUAUUUAAGAAUUUACAGGUGUCCGUUGCUGCAAAAAGAGUGCUCAAGCGAUAAAGGACGAGAGUGGUCUAAGAUUUCCCACAUACCCCUUGUUGAAAUUGAUGGUAUUUAUUGAAUGAUGUUUGCAGGGAUUGAAAGCGAAGUUGGGGUGGAAGUGAGGUUUCAGAAAGAUCCUUUGAAGGAAAAGUAAAAAAGAUGACACUUCUCUUGUUAAAAGGGUGGAAUUUUUCAUUUAGUGUUUCAGAGGUUUGUAAACUUGUUUCUUGUUAAAAAUUUCAAAGACAAAAGUAUAAAUGUUGAUGAGAUGUUAUUGGCAUACAGUUCAAUGGGUAUGGGUGGUGUUUCAGUAGUUUCAAACGUUUGUAAACUUGUUUCUUGGCUUUGGGGUUUAAUGUUGGAGUAGCAUUAGAUCAUGGGUUUUUGUAGAAUGUGAGCUUUGUGUAUUGUUUAUUUUAUUCUUUUACUUUACUCGUCUUAUAUACAAUAGGGAAGAAUAAGAUGAACAAUUUCACAUUAAACUUCAAUCUUAUAACAUUUUCCUUAUUUUCAA